AGCUACCGCUAUUGGAGUUCGAUUAAGCCAUGCGAGUCGAGAGUCCUCGGGACUCGGCGUACCGCUCAGUAACACGUGGGUAACCUGCCCUAUGCUGGGGAAUAACCUCGGGAAACUGAGAAUAAUGCCCCAUAGCCCACUACGCCUGGAACGGUGAGUGGGUCAAAGCCCCGGCGGCAUAGGAUGGGCCUGCGCCGUAUCAGGUUGUAGGGGGUGUAAAGUACCCUCUAGCCAUCAACGCGUACGGGUGUUGGGAGACAUUGCCCGGAGAUGGAUUCUGAGACACGAAUCCAGACCCUACGGGGUGCAGCAGGCGCGAAAACUUGGCAAUGCGAGAAAUCGUGACCAGGGAACUCCAAGUGCAUCGGGUAAGACCGGUGCUUUUCUUGACUCUAAAUAGGUCUUGGAAUAAGGGGUGGGUAAGGACGGUGCCAGCCGCCGCGGUAAUACCGGCGCCUCAAGUGGUAGUCGCUUUUAUUGGGCCUAAAACGUCCGUAGCCGGUCUGAUACAUUCGUGGGUAAAUCAACCAGCUCAACUGGUUGAAUUCUGCGAGGACGGUCAGACUUGGGACCGGGAGAGGUGUGGGGUACGCUCAGGGUAGGGGUAAAAUCCUGUCAUCCUGAGCGGACCACCUGUUGCGAAGGCGCCACACUAGAACGGAUCCGACGGUCAGGGACGAAGCCUAGGGGCACGAACCGGAUUAGAUACCCGGGUAGUCCUAGGUGUAAACGCUGUGGACUUGAUGUUGGGGGUGCUCCGAGCACUCUCAGUGUCGAAGCGAAGGUGAUAAGUCCACUGCCUGGGAAGUACGGUCGCAAGGCUGAAACUUAAAGGAAUUGGCGGGGGAGCACCGCAACCUGAGGAUUGUGCGGUUU
rnacentral:rRNA from 1 species